CAGUCGCCACGGGAAUACGGAGGGGGCUAGCGUUGUUCGGAAUUACUGGGCGUAAAGCGCACGUAGGCGGCUUGGUAAGUUAGAGGUGAAAGCCUGGAGCUCAACUCCAGAAUUGCCUUUAAGACUGCCGAGCUAGCAGGUGAGAGAGGUAAGUGGAAUUCCGAGUGUAGAGGUGAAAUUCGUAGAUAUUCGGAAGAACACCAGUGGCGAAGGCGGCUUACUGGCUCAUACUGGACGCUGAGGUACGAAAGCAUGGGGAGCAAACAGGAUUAGAUACCCCCGUAGUCCCUGUCUCUUAUAC
rnacentral:rRNA from 1 species